rnacentral:rRNA from 1 species
AUGCUAUGGCGCACACAGAUCACGCCGCAGUUGCGUGGCGCCAGUGUCUUCAACUAUGUUGACGGCACCUCGCCAGAGCCGGCCAAGCUUCUCGCCGCCAAGGACAAGGACGACAAGGAGACAUUCGAGCCCAGCCCUCUCCACCCAAUCUGAGUCAGGGAGGACCAGCAGGUGCUCGGUUAUCUGCUGAGCAACCUCUCCAAGGAGGUGCUCGUCAUGGUGACCACAGUCACCACGGCGCAGGCGCUCUGGACGACGCUGGCGGGCAUGUACUCGUCGCAGUCGCUGAGCCGCGUCAACAACAUCCGCACCUCCCUCAUCAACGCGCAGAAGGGCAACCAGAAUGCCGCCGCCUACUUCGCCUCCAUGCGCGGCCUCGCGGACGAGCUCGCCGCCGCCGGCAAACCGAUCCAGGAUGACGAGCUCAUCUCGUAUAUUCUUCAUGGGCUGGAUCUGGAGUACCAGCCCCUCGUCUCGGUCCUCGACGCCCGCGUCACACCAUCCUCCCUUGAUGAAAGCUUCUCCAUGCUCAGCAACUUCGAACAGCGCAUGGCGCAGUUCCACGGGUCGGGCAGUGGUGGCUUCAAAUAUUCAGCAAACGUUGCCACCCGUGGGCGCGGUGGUGGCUCUCGCUAUCGUGCUCCUUACCGUGGAAAGGGGAUGUUAGGUGGUGCACGCCCCACUGGUGGCGGCGGAGGCGACCGAUCUGGCAACAAAGGUCGCCGCGGUGGCGGCUCUGGCAGGACCCAUCCCGACGCUCCGCGGUGCUAG